AACCUUUGUCAACUCUGUAUGCGUUUUCUGACUGCCUGUGUAGUCAUCUGACAACUUGAGAAGCAGGAACAAAGCACUGGCAAGGCUGACAAAUCCUGCAGAUGCAGCAAGGAAGCAAAGAAAGCACAAAAGAAGUCUAUAAUGAUCGAAAGCCAAAGGGAAAAGAAAAGGAUCGUGGCCAAAUAGUGUCAAAUACCUGCUCCUCCCAAUAAUUUUAGUAGAGGCUCUCUUGCAAGAUCUGUCAUCAAGCAUAGAAGAUAUUGCUACACCACAACUCCUGACGUAUUUUCUACCUGCUUUGAAAGGAGUACAAUACCACCACAGUCAGUGAAGCUCUCCACUCCAACUGAUGCACUGUUUGCUAAAACACAAAGACAUCCACCUCAGUGAAGAGGGGGCAAGCCCUCUGGAAAGGCUUUCUGAUAGCAGAUACUCUGGUGUUCAAAGCUGAACCUCUUACCUUCUGGCACAACCGGCUCUUGACAGCAGAUUUCCUAACAGAUGCCAAGCUAUUCCUAUCAGUUUAACCCCAACAGGACAUUCCUGUUACCCAUAUUAAUCUUAGUAGAUGAGAUGCUGAAGGUUCAGUAGAAAAUACCAAUUAAACAUUGGUGAUGGGUGGAUGGUUGGACCGGGUGAUCCUGUGGAUCUUUUCCGACCUUGGUGAUUCUAUGAUUCCAUGAUUCUGUGAUCUUUUCUUUGAAGGACUAAUCUGCUGAAACUAAAGCUUCCUGCAAGAAUUGGGCUAUUUAUAGGUAUAUAAGUCUUGCUCAAAUAAAU
ensembl:lncRNA